GACGAACGCUGGCGGCGUGCCUAAUACAUGCAAGUUGAGCGCUGAAGGUUGGUACUUGUACCUACUGGAUGAGCAGCGAACGGGUGAGUAACGCGUGGGUAAUCUGCCUUUGAGCGGGGGACAACAUUUGGAAACGAAUGCUAAUACCGCAUAAAAACUUUAAACACAAGUUUUAAGUUUGAAAGAUGCAAUUGCAUCACUCAAAGAUGAUCCCGCGUUGUAUUAGCUAGUUGGUGAGGUAAAGGCUCACCAAGGCGAUGAUACAUAGCCGACCUGAGAGGGGGAUCGGCCACAUUGGGACUGAGACACGGCCCAAACUCCUACGGGAGGGAGCAGUAGGGAAUCUUCGGCAAUGGACGAAAGGCUGAACGAGGAACGCCGCGGGAGUGAAGAAGGUUUUCGGAUCGUAAAACUCUGUUGGUAGAGAAGAACGUUGGUGAGAGUGGAAAGCUCAUCAAGUGACGGUAACUACCCAGAAAGGGACGGCUAACUACGUG
rnacentral:rRNA from 1 species